rnacentral:misc_RNA from 1 species
CCUAAGAGAUACGUGUUAUGUGAAGUGCUCACACAGAUUGUCUGAUGAAGAACGAGCAAAAGCGCGUCUGCGAAGCUGACAGAAGUCCCCUUCGUCUAGAGGCCUAGGACACCGCCCUUUCACGGCGGUAACAGGGGUUCGAAUCCCCUAGGGGACGCCAAUGCGCGGUAUGAGUGAAAGGCGUACCACUUAUCUGACGAAAGUCAGAGAAUAACUAAGCUAAUUCAAACGAGUUAUCUUACUUAUUAUGCUCUUUAACAAUCUGGAAUAAGCUGAAAAAUUGAAAACAAAUCAAUAUAUCAACGAGGUAUAUUGGUGAGUCUCUCAAAAUCUCAAACCUUAAAGGUUGUCACGCAAAGUUUAUCUUUGAAAGAGACACUUUCGGGUUGUGA